rnacentral:rRNA from 1 species
GAUGAACGCUGGCGGCGUGCCUAAUACAUGCAAGUAGAACGCUGAAGGAGGAGCUUGCUCUUCUGGAUGAGUUGCGAACGGGUGAGUAACGCGUAGGUAACCUGCCUGGUAGCGGGGGAUAACUAUUGGAAACGAUAGCUAAUACCGCAUGACAACAGUUAUUGCAUGAUAACUGUUUAAAAGGGGCAACUGCUCCACUACCAGAUGGACCUGCGUUGUAUUAGCUAGUUGGUGAGGUAACGGCUCACCAAGGCGACGAUACAUAGCCGACCUGAGAGGGUGAUCGGCCACACUGGGACUGAGACACGGCCCAGACUCCUACGGGAGGCAGCAGUAGGGAAUCUUCGGCAAUGGACGGAAGUCUGACCGAGCAACGCCGCGUGAGUGAAGAAGGUUGUCGGACCGUAAAGCUCUGUUGUAAGAGAAGAACGAGUGUGAGAGUGGAAAGUUCACGCUGUGACGGUAGCUUACCAGAAAGGGACGGCUAACUACGUG